rnacentral:misc_RNA from 1 species
GAUGAAGAACGUAGCGAAAUGCGAUAAGUAAUGCGAAUUGCAGAAUUCCAGUGAGUCAUCGAAUCUUUGAACGCACAUUGCGCCCUUUGGUAUUCCGAAGGGCAUGCCUGUUCGAGCGUCAUUAUCACCCCUCAAGCCCUCGGCUUGGUGUUGGACGGUUUGGUGGAGGCCCCCUCGGGGGCUCCUGCCCCUCCCAAAGACAAUGACGGCGGCCUCGUUGGACCCCCGGUACACUGAGUUCUUCACGGGACACGUAUCGGACACAUGGGUUUACGGGACACGGUCUGCCUCCCCUCAGGGAGAAUCUUUCUAAGGUUGACCUCGGAUCAGGUAGGGAUACCGCUGAACUUAAGCAUAUCAAUAAGCGGAGGA